rnacentral:rRNA from 1 species
GACGAACGCUGGCGGCGUGCCUAAUACAUGCGAGUUGAGCGCUGAAGGUUGGUACUUGUACCAACUGGAUGAGCAGCGAACGGGUGAGUAACGCGUGGGGAAUCUGCCUUUGAGCGGGGGACAACAUUUGGAAACGAAUGCUAAUACCGCAUAAAAACUUUAAACACAAGUUUUAAGUUUGAAAGAUGCAAUUGCAUCACUCAAAGAUGAUCCCGCGUUGUAUUAGCUAGUCGGUGAGGUAAAGGCUCACCAAGGCGAUGAUACAUAGCCGACCUGAGAGGGUGAUCGGCCACAUUGGGACUGAGACACGGCCCAAACUCCUACGGGAGGCAGCAGUAGGGAAUCUUCGGCAAUGGACGAAAGUCUGACCGAGCAACGCCGCGUGAGUGAAGAAGGUUUUCGGAUCGUAAAACUCUGUUGGUAGAGAAGAACGUUGGUGAGAGUGGAAAGCUCAUCAAGUGACGGUAACUACCCAGAAAGGGACGGCUAACUACGUG